rnacentral:rRNA from 1 species
GACGAACGCUGGCGGCGUGCUUAACACAUGCAAGUCGAACGAUGAAGAAGAGAAACGCGAACUUCGGUUCAAAUUUCACUUCGGAUUAGUGGCAGACGGGUGAGUAACGCGUGAGCAACCUACCUCUUACAAAGGGAUAGCCUCGGGAAACCGUGAUUAAUACCAUAUGACACAUUCAUAAGGCAUCUUAAGAAUGUUAAAGCUACGGCGGUAAGAGAUGGGCUCGCGUCCCAUUAGCUAGUUGGUGAGGUAACGGCCCACCAAGGCGACGAUGGGUAACCGGCCUGAGAGGGUGAACGGUCACAUUGGAACUGAGACACGGUCCAAACUCCUACGGGAGGCAGCAGUGGGGAAUAUUGCACCAUGGAGGGAACUCUGAUGCAGCGACGCCGCGUGAGCGAUGAAGGAAUUCGUUUCGUAAAGCUCUGUUCUAUGGGAAGAAAAGGACUGUACCAUAGGAGAAAGCCCCGGCUAAAUACGUG